GGCUGGAUGGCCGAGUGGUCUAAGGCUCUAGAAUCAGGUUGUGUUCCUAUCUAGUCUUUCGAGGCGUGGGUUCGAAUCCCACUCCAGUCA